AAACACAGCUCCACGCUUUCCACGCAUAGGUUGUCCCUCAUGACUUCAAUCACCAUGUCCUCCCUCCAGCAGACCACAGUCUUGCUAUCUCCGGUGGCCAUCCUCUUUCUCGAUCUCACGCCGGCCUCCUACGGCAGCGGCUAGCUCGCCGUUGCACUCCAAUCAUGCGAGGCCGCUUUCUGUACCCCUGCUGCACAGUCCAGCCGGCCACACGAUCGUCUUUUCAUGGAUCUAGAUGCGUACCCCAGUGCUUCUUGGCUCUAGAUCCAUGAAAACUCUGCUUUGUUGUACCUCUAGAGGUAAGAUUACUCUUAAAUCUAUUAGUAGAACUUCUUCUCUACUCUGAUUGGAUUAUAGAAGCCUCCUAGGGAGCAGCGUCAUGUUCAACCUGCAACCAUUAGGCGGCCCAGGGUGGCUAAACCUAAAUAGUUCAGUGAAGAUUCAAAGUUUCCAUGUGUAUUAGUUUGUGCUGCCUACAGUUUUUACUUGCAAAAGGCCUAUAUCUUAACCUUUGCUAAUUGUGUGUUUGGACAAAUUUCUAGAAGAUGAUAAUUUGCAGACUGCAGAUAGGUUCUGUACAAACAUCCAUGUUACAGACCUGUUAACAAUAAUUUCGAAGUACUGAGAUCUGUUCACAUGCUUUUAAGUAGUGCUCUAUCUGAACAGUGCUAAUUUUGCAUAUUAUUGCUGCUAAAUAAGGCCUAAAUUCGUUGUUGUUGCUCAGCCUGGGAUGUCUGAUUGGUUUACUUAGUAUGAAAGGAAGAUGGAGUGAUCAUGAUGGCUUCUAAUGAGUUCAAUUUAGGCUAAUAGAGGUAAAAAUGAUUAAUGAAGUUGAUGAGGCAUACUGAUGUCAGUCAAAUUACGAUCAUUGGUGAGGCCGCCGAGUGGAGCUACUACAAGGGACGGGCACAGCAGCCCUCUGGACAUGAACAUUGUUCUAGGUCAAUUCGUCAUCAGUCAAUAAGAGGGUAAUCCGAAUUCUGAAAUUUCAUUUUCUAUUUUCUAACUCAUCAAAUCAAUUUUAUGGCUUGAUUCUUGAGGUCAUGUUCAUAGGAAAUCUAUUUGCAAUUGUAUGAAACGGUUGCUCCCUACAGUCUUGUCAAAUAGCCUUUAAUAUUUAGAAUUUACAGCUAUGGCCUAUAGACUAAAGAAUAAGGUAUUUUCAGCUUAAUAUUUGGACAGUCUCGGUAGGUUCUUUUUUGCCCUGGUGUACAACAGCAAGAGCUGCCACAAUUAGCUUAUGUACUUGAACAAAUCUUCCUCUUUUUAUGGAUCGCCGGUGUCAAUUUGUUCGGGUAGAACCAUAUAUAUUUCUUGGCAAUCCAAAUUAAAAAAGUAGGCCUUUAUACCUUUUUUGUUUCUUACCACAAGAGGAUAUGGAUGACCAUCUCAAUCGGUGGCAAUCCAUUAAUUUUUAAAUCGGUGGCAAUCCAUAAGAGGAUAUAUAUACUAAUUGGAAGCACUAAUUGAGACACCAUGUUAAUCCUAGAAAAUUAUAAAAAAUCAUCCAUCCGAUCUUAGAGUUGAAUCUCUGGAGCCGUCGGAUGAAAUCCGCCGUAGUCCCUACGAAUUAUCCCACAUGAGAAAGUUCCUUCUGGGCCUCUCCCUGAAAAAAAAUUCCAUUUUACCUCUUUCCCAUCUCUUCCACCCAUCCACGAUCUUCCUCCUCCGCCGCCUCUCCACGUCCUCUUCUACCCAGCCCCGAUCUAUGCUGCAGACCUUCUUGAAGAACGUGACCCAAUCUAAAACAGAUACAGGCAAUGCCAUGAAUCAUGAAGGUUUGAUAUAGGUGACUAUGUCUGUCCUCAACAUACCUGACGUUUCAUCAUUAUUACUAGACUACGCCCUGUCCAAAAAUUAAUGAGGCAAACUGAAGCUAUGUUUAUUCCAUACAUUUUCUCAUGGUUCACGAAGAUAUAUGAAGCAGUGUGGCGAUCCCAAAAAUCACUGAUCUAAUAUGUAAUAUGUAGUUUUCAAUUAAUGGUUCAGUUUUCAUCACUUAUUUGCUCUCUUUUUAUCUGAAUUUUAUUUCUAAAGAACACAACACACACAUGAGGUUGAAGGAAACAGAGAACAGAAAUUCAGUCAUAGAUAGAGGCUUUUGCCAUGCCAAAACUUGCGUCAUUUUUAGUCUUUCCUUUUAUUUCAUCGUUGUUGAGUAUAAGGAUUACUAGGAAGUAUAGGAUAGACUAGGAUUUGGUCCUGCCUUGUCUUGUAUUCCAAAUUGGUCUUUGUACUCUUAUAUAUAUGCCCAUGAGGCUCAAUCAAUACAACAAACUAUUCCACCAAUUGUCUCUCUCCCUUCUAACAUGAUAUCAGUUUUCGGGUUCUAAACCCUAGCCGCCGCCGCUUCCGCACCCGCACGGCGCCCCUGGGGCGGUCGGCCUCCAUGACUGCCGCCGGGGGCUACGCCGCCCGUACCUAUGGUUCGUUCGCCGACCGUGUUGGUCGGCUGCCCUAGAGAGUCUUUUUCCGGAACCCUUGUUCCGGGUUUUUUCGCUCUCUCGCCUGUCGUUUUGAUCGGCGUAUUUCUUUUUGGUUUUCCGAUCUAAUCUUGAUCGGUUUGUGUCGCCCGCCGCCGCCGUCAACCAGCGCACGCCUCUACUCCGACACCGGCGCGACCAGCCGGCUACUUCACCGACCCGGCGGCUUCGUGCGUCGUUCGCGCGUCUGCCCGCUGGUCGCCGCGACCCGGCGGCCUCGCGUCAUGUGGCGGCCCUUCACCGCCGCCGUUCACGCGCCGGCUCGCUCGUCGAUCUACGCCGGCCGUCAUCGCCCUACUCUGACCGGGAUUCCCGCAUCACCCCGAUCCGGCUGCCUCGCGCCAUGCGGCGACCAAUCAUAGCCGCCCCGCCGCCCGCCGUCGCCGAAUUCAUCUCGGACUCCGCCGCCACCCCGCCUCCACAGAGCGGCGUCCCCGACCUCACGCGCGAUGGGCUUGAUCACCCGCUCGCCGCGGCGAUCCGCCUCAUCUAUGUCGCGCGACCGACCUGGCCCGUCGGUUACGCGCGCCUCCGCAGGUCCCGUGAAGAUCGUCCCCGAGUUCAGCGCACCUCUCCACCGAUCGAGCAUUGGGUUGUCGCUGCGUCCCCUCGUCGGGCCGCAGCGCCGCCGCCCCAUGGUUCUCCUCGCGGCUGCAUCGACCCGUGUGUCGCCGUUGUGUCGCCCCUUCGGGCCGUAGUGUCGAAAUACGCGGUCCCCGCCGUCACCCCGAGGCCGUCCCCGCGACUGCACUGACUCGCGAACAGCCAUUGCGUCGCCCCUUUGGGGCGCAGCGUCGUGGCCCGCGGUCCUUGCCGCCGCCCCGAGGUCUUCUCGCCGUCGCCCCGACCCUCCUGCUGCCGCUGCGUCGCCCCUUCGGGACGUAGCACCGCGGCCGGCGGUCCACUCCGCCGUCACCACGCGUCGACCUCUCUUGGUAUGCACCGCGCCGUCUCCCUUGGCGCGGGAACGCCAGCGUUCGCGCCGGUCUUCAUCAUGUUGCCAGGAUUUUUCGCCUACUUCGAGCACCGCUGCCGCGCUCCUAACCUAGCCGCCGCCGCCGUCGUCAGGCCGCCGCCGCCGCUCUUCUUCGGCCGCCGCCGCGUCUACCCCUGUAGCCGCCGCCGCCGCCCGUCCACCCCCCUUCAUCUUCGUCCAGCAUCAACCCGUCGCCAGCGUCGCCGUCAUCUACCCCGACCGCUUCAUCUACUCCUUCUCUGCUGGCCUCUCUGACUUCUUCGACAUGGCACACAGCUCGUGCAGGUCCCAUUCUACACAUGCCCGGUGCUGGCAACACCGCCGCGUGUCUUCGUCCAUGACGUGUCCCCGGGCCUGGCAAGCCUGGUGCGGCGCUUCGUCAACUUCGUCUUCGUCCGUCUACACAUGCCCGGUGCUGGCAACACCGACGCGUGCCUUCAUCUACGAUGUGUUCCAGGGGUUGGCAACCCCGGCGCGAUGCGUCAUCAACAUCAUCUCCUUCCUGGCGCACAACUACUUCGACACCACUGCGCCCACGACUAACUCGGCGCCUCUUUGCGCCCGCGGCUCCACGGCAAUUUCCUCGACACCGGCUACCCCGACUCGACAUCGACCACGAUAUUCUUCGCACGGCUACCUCGACCACGGCUCCACCACCCACGCUCUCGGCUACAUCGACAAAAGGCACAAAGGGCUACCACCUGCUUGAGCAACCUCGUCGGUUUUCACUCCAGCCACGACUCCGUGAUGCUUCGACCGUUACGACUGUGGGGGUGUCCGUCAGCUUGCAUUCGGAUUCUUCUCCAGUCUCACCGUCUGCGUUGCUACCGUUGUGACUGCAGGGGGAUGUUGAGUAUAAGGAUUAUUAGGAAGUAUAGGAUAGACUAGGAUUUGGUCCUGCCUUGUCUUGUACUCCAAAUUGAUCUUUGUACUCCUAUAUAUAUGCCCAUGAGGCUCAAUCAAUACAACAAACUAUUCCACCAAUCCUCUCUCUACCUUCUAACAAUCGCUUAACUGAAUCAACGGGAAAUUCGCCACAAUCAAAUAGUUGCACGUGGCAUCCCACGAACUCGGGUUGUGUCGGGUCAAAAGCUAAUUAAACAAGCUAAAUUUAGGUCUGGGCCACAGCAGGAAUGCAGCAAGAUUCUGGCUACAGUAAACAUUCAAAUCAAAGAUACAUGUGAUUGCUUAUGCAGCUACUGGAGAAAUAAGAGAAACUGAAGAAAAACUUGCAGACAGAUUGAGGUUAACAUCAACAUCAGCUACUGGAGAAAUAAGAGAAACUGAAGAAAAACUUGCAGACAGAUUGAGGUUAACAUCAACAUCGGCAAGCACGAAUCGUCCGGCAGGAAAACAGCAAGCAGCACCAGCCCUUCGUCAACUCUAAUAAUACUGUUCACUUACACUGCUUGAGGAACUGUGUCUCAUUGAAAAGCUCAUAUGGUUUGAAAUCAAUGUUUAUAUGUAAAGAGAUUUGUCUCAGGUGCAACAAAAACAGCAGUUCAAUUUGGUGUGCAAGAGGUCGAUAACUAUUUGAUAUUUUUUCUUAUCUCUCAGACAUGAUUAAUUUUCUUACCUAUAGGAUUAUGUAUUUUAUGACACUAUAGCUUCCUAUUA